rnacentral:misc_RNA from 1 species
CAGAGUUGCAAAACUCCUAACCCUUUGUGAACGAACCUACCAGUUGCCUCGGCGGCGAGCCCUUCAGGGGCGGACCGCCGGAGGAAUACAAACUCUUUGCAUUAUUGUAUCUCUGAUUACUUAUAUAAUAAGUUA